GACGAACGCUGGCGGCGCGCUUAACACAUGCAAGUCGAACGGAAAGGCCUGCUUUCCCUUGUGGAUUGCGGGUACUCGAGUGGCGAACGGGUGAGUAACACGUGAGUGAUCUGCCCCCAACUUGGGUAUAAGCCUGGGAAACUGGGUCUAAUUCCCGAUAGGACUGCAGGGUGGUGCCUGUGGUGGAAAACGAUUUUCUAGUGGUUGGGGAUGAGCUCGCGGCCUAUCAGCUUGUUGGUGGGGUAAUGGCCUACCAAGGCGGCGACGGGUAGCCGGCCUGGGAGGGUGGACGGCCACAUUGGGACUGAGAUACGGCCCAGACUCCUACGGGAGGCAGCAGUGGGGAAUAUUGCACAAGGGGCGGAAGCCUGAUGCAGCGACGCCGAGUGGGGGAUGACGGCCUUCGGGUUGUAAACUCCUUUCGACCGCGAGGAAGCCACCUGGUUGGAAGGGUGGUGACGGUAGUGGUAGAAGAAGCACCGGCUAACUACGUG
rnacentral:rRNA from 1 species